rnacentral:tRNA from 1 species
GGGGUCAUGGUCCAACGGGAGGACAUCGCGCUGGCAGCGCGAAGGUGAGGGUUCGACUCCCUCUGAUUCCA